UAGGGAAUCUUCCACAAUGGACGCAAGUCUGAUGGAGCAACGCCGCGUGAGUGAAGAAGGGUUUCGGCUCGUAAAGCUCUGUUGUUAAAGAAGAACGUGGGUAAGAGUAACUGUUUACCCAGUGACGGUAUUUAACCAGAAAGCCACGGCUAACUACGUGCCCGA
rnacentral:rRNA from 1 species